rnacentral:ncRNA from 1 species
CUACGUUAUUUUGGUCAAGACACCUACAGAUACUCCUCAAGUCUGUAGCCCUGUCGUUUCUUAGAGUCAGGGAAUCGUGUGACUAGCUGAACAAGCCUUAAUAACUUUAACGGUGAGGAUCAACCUGUUUUGUGUGUUUCAGG